AUUUGCUUAUACUAAUGGGAGUGGUCCUCUAUUGCUAGUUGCGAGUUGUGAAAAGCUGUUUAGGGCAAUUGGGUAACAAAUGCAAAUAUAUGCUAUGCAAACCCACGGGACUCAUAUGGUCCCACGCCCAACUCAGCCUUUCAUUUCCUGCCCCAUAUCCCCAUCCCUUUUAAAUUAACGCACCUCUUUUGCUUCUUUUGCAUUUUAUAUGAGUGGUCUCUGAUUUCACAAAAUUUGUAGAUGCCUCUUCUCCCCAUUUCACCAUUUUAGGACCUCACCUUCUCUCUCUCUCUCUCUCUCUCUCUCUCUCUCUCUCUCUCUUGUAUCUAGCUAGCUUUUCAGAAUUGUUGUUGAGAAGGGGGGUGUGUGGGCAAGAUGGAGAAGCAGGGCACGUGCAUUACUAACUCAUGCACACACAGUCACACAUUUUCUUGGCUGCAGUCACCUGGUUGAAGGGUUUUUUUUUUUUUUUGCUUUAGCUCCAGUGACAGUGAGUUAGUUCUUCAUGUGCCCCUCUUCCCCAUCAUGACCACUACUCCUGGAUAUAAUUAUUUAGCACUGCAAUUGGAAAUCUAAUACAAAGAAGAUAAGUUUCUACCAUUUGUCUGUCUCGUCAAGAUCUCAACAAAACAAUUCAAAUCGGUGAAAAAGCUCCAUAUCAGGAAAAAAGAAAACAAGAAGAGAAAGAGAUGGCUUAUUAUCAAGAAUAGGGGCAUAUGGUACCAUCACCAAGGAGACAAUACAAGACAACAACCAUAUGUCUCUAUUCUCGCCCUUUCACUUCAUCCACGUCUGAAUGACAAUGAAAACCCAUUCACAAUAUCUUUUCUUCUAAUCCAAUAUAUAUGUCUAUUUUGUUUCUACCCACACAAAUUUUUGCUGAGAUGUGAUUGCAGCCAACUUCACAUAUAUUCAAGUGUGAAUUAUCUUUCCAUUCUUUCUUUCUUGUUAUUUUCAAGGUACAUGGUUUGAUUCUAGGGCAUGCUCAUAUACAUAUAAAAGACAUACAGAAAGAAAUCUUGCUUAUACUUUUGAGGUUAUUUUAAUUUGUGAUUUUUCAUGUGUGGAUUGUCUAUUUGAUAUAAAUAUUACUAAUUUGAAGUUAUUUUUAUACUA